GUCUACGGCCAUACCACCCUGAACACGCCCAAUCUUGCCUGAUCUCCGAAGCUAAGCAGGGUUGGGCCUGGUUAGUUCUUGGAUGAGAGAAGUUGAAAAAUAAGGGAAACGCAAAAU
rnacentral:rRNA from 1 species